GGCGAACGGGUGAGGAACACGUGAAGAAUCUGCCUUCAACUCUGGGAUAACACCGGGAAACCGGUGCUAAUACCGGAUAUGAGCCUUGAUCGCAUGAUCGGGGCUGGAAAGUUUUUCGGUUGAAGAUGACUUCGCGGCCUAUCAGCUUGUUGGUGAGGUAAUGGCUCACCAAGGCGACGACGGGUAGCCGGCCUGAGAGGGCGACCGGCCACACUGGGACUGAGACACGGCCCAGACUCCUACGGGAGGCAGCAGUGGGGAAUAUUGGGCAAUGGACGAAAGUCUGACCCAGCGACGCCGCGUGCGGGAUGAAGGCCUUCGGGUUGUAAACCGCUUUCAGCAGGGAAGAAGCGAAAGUGACGGUACCUGCAGAAGAAGCACCGGCUAACUAUGUGCCAGCAGCCGCGGUAAUACAUAGGGUGCAAGCGUUGUCCGGAAUUAUUGGGCGUAAAGAGCUCGUAGGUGGUUAGUUACGUCGGAUGUGAAAAUCUAGGGCUCAACCCUAGACCUGCAUCCGAUACGGGCUAGCUUGAGUUUGGUAGGGGAGACUGGAAUUCCUGGUGUAGCGGUGGAAUGCGCAGAUAUCAGGAGGAACACCAAUGGCGAAGGCAGGUCUCUGGGCCAAUACUGACACUGAGGAGCGAAAGUGUGGGGAGCGAACAGGAUUAGAUACCCUGGUAGUCCACACAGU
rnacentral:rRNA from 1 species